rnacentral:rRNA from 1 species
GACAGAGGUCUCGAGCGUUAGGCGGAAUCACUGGGCUUAAAGCGUGUGUAGGCGGAUUUGUAAGUACCUUGUGAAAUCCCACGGCUUAACCGUGGAACUGCUGGGUAUACUGCUUAUCUUGGGCCAUCUAGGGGCGAGCGGAACAAACGGUGGAGCGGUGAAAUGCGUAGAUAUCGUUUGGAACGCCAAUGGUGAAAACAGCUCGCUGGGAAUGAUCUGACGCUGAGACGCGAAAGCCAGGGGAGCGAACGGG